rnacentral:tRNA from 1 species
GGGUCGUUAGCUCAGUUGGUAGAGCAGUUGACUUUGACCAAUUGGUCGGUUCGAAUCCCGCACGACCCACCA